rnacentral:lncRNA from 1 species
CUUCUCGUCUCGCCCCUCCAAACCAUCGCAACGCCAUUUGACCCCCACUGAUCGAAAGCCCCUAAAGUGACGCUCCUUGUCCCUUCACUCAUGUUUCUCGGUUUAGAUUUCCUCAAACCCAAACCAAAACCUUCGAAAAAUCCAAAAAAAAAAUGGAAUAAACAGAAACUUGAUCCACCGUCGUCUGUCCUGAUAUCAGUCUCGUUUUCCAGUAUGAAGUUCUUCACCAUCCAACGAAGCUUUUCACCGUUGGGAUCGUCAAAAUGGACAUCUUGUUGUUCCAAUAGGGUCGGAAGCGUGUAAAUUAUUGUACUAAAAAAUCACACAAAGUUCAAUUCCCAGGGAAGAGAGGUGGAUCACAAGGAUCUCUUAAAUACCAAGUCUUUCCUUAGACAGAAUAUCCCUUCUAUAGUAAUUUAAUAGCACAAUUAAAUACUACUAUUAUACCCUCAAAUAUUGAAAGAAAAAUAGGACAAGAAAGAACACAAGAGUUUUAACGAGGUUCGGUAAAUUAUACCUACGUCCUCGGGCACUAACACCAGAUGAUAACUUUACUAUCUUCAAAGUAUUACAAACAAAUAGAAUUCCUUAAGAAUUCUCAAAUGGGAGAAGAGAGAAAACUAAGAGAGAAAGAUUGGUUGGGAUGAAUUGAAAUGAGAAAUGAGAAGGCCUAUUUAUAGUUGAGGUUUAAGGACCAAACAAUAAAUAGCCCAUUAUCUCAAGGACCAAAAAAAAUUAUCCCAUGCCACUUUUCCAAAGUCAAAUUUAGGGUGCUAAACUUGCACCACUUUGUAUUGUUUGCCAUUAAUGUUGUCUCCCAUUAAUGUUAACAAUCUCCACCUUGAAGAUUUGAUUAGGAUAAUCACAUCUUCACACACUUCCUUCAACUCCCCAAAUUCGAUAAAGCUAUCUUUUGUAGUGCCUACAAAUGCACUCUCGGGCGCCAUACACCUGAAGGUGCUCAAAUUCUCAGGAUGUUAAUCAAGUUCAAACAAUGAUUAAACUUGAUUGUUGUUACCACCUUGGUCAUCAUAUCUGCGGGAUUAUCUGCUGUCGGAAUCUUCUGAAGUAGAAUUUUUCCUUUUUCAAAGACUUCCCGCACAAAGUGAUAUCUUACGUCGAUAUGCUUGGUUCUUGAAUGAUAGACUUGAUUUUUCGCUAAAUGAAUAGCGCUCUGACUGUCACAAUAUAAACUUAUGUGACUUUGAACAACUCCUAAGUCUUUCAACAAUCCAUUAAGCCAAAUAGCCUCCUUAACAGCUUCUGUAACUGCCAUAUAUUCUGCCUCUGUAGUAGACACAGCUACUGUAGACUGUAAGGUAGACUUCCAACUUAUUGGGGCUUUCGCAAGAGUAAACAGAUACCCCGUAGUUGAACGACGUUUAUCUAAAUCACCAGCAAAGUCGGAAUCAACAUAUCCAACUACAAACUGACCAAGUGUUUCAUCCUGUUCAAAAAUUAAACCAACAUCUACGGUUUUUCGAAGAUACCGUAGAAUCCAUUUCACAGCUUGCCAAUGUCCUUUUCCAGGAUCAUGCAUAUACCUGCUCACAACUCCAACAGCUUGUGAAAUGUCAGGCCUCGUACACACCAUCGCAUACAUCAAACUCCCAACUGCAUUAGCAUAUGGGACUUUCGCCAUAUAUUCUCUUUCAUCUUCAGUCUUCGGAGAUAAUUGAGCACUAAGUUUCAAAUGAGAAGCAAGUGGGGUACUUACAUGUUUUGUGUUUUCAUUUACACCAAAACAUUGUAAUACCUUUUUCAGAUAUUGCUUCUGAUUUAAACAGAGCUUGCCUCUCGGUCUAUCUCUACUUAUCUCCAUGCCGAGAAUCUUCUUGGCCUCACCUAGAUCUUUCAUCUCGAACUCUUGAUUCAACUGAGCCUUCAGCUUAUCUAUCUCAUUUUGGCUCUUCGAAGCGAUUAACAUAUCAUCAACAUACAAGAGUAGAUAAAUGAAAGAUCCGUCAUGCAGCUUCUGCAAAUAUACACAAUUGUCAUAUUUGCUUCUUGUGUACUUCUGCCUUCUCAUAAAGCUAUCAAAUCGCUUGUACCACUGCCUCGGGGAUUGCUUCAAUCCAUAUAGCGAUUUGUUAAGCUUACAAACCCAAUUUCUACCACCAGCAUCUGUGUAUCCUUCUGGCUGAGUCAUAUAGAUCUCCUCUUCUAACUCACCAUGCAAGAAAGCCGUCUUAACAUCAAGUUGAGCUAGCUCCAAAUUCAACUGUGCUACCAAGGCCAACAAAAUUCUAAUGGAGGAAUGCUUCACAACAGGGGAAAAUACAUCAUUGUAGUCAAUUCCCUCCUUCUGAGCGUAGCCUUUAGCUACCAAUCUUGCCUUGUAGCGAAUAUCCUUCUUGCUAGGAGAUCCAUCUUUCUUUGCGAAUACCCACUUGCAUCCGAUUGCCCUUUUACCUUUCGGUAAUUGCGCCAACUCCCAAGUAUUAUUCUUCCGGAGAGACUGCAUUUCUUCAUCCAUGGCGCUUUUCCAUUUAUCACUUUCUAAGCUUUGCAUUGCUUCUUGAUAAGUGAUAGGAAUAUCAUCAACAACGGGAAGGGCGUAGGCCACUAUAUCAGUAAAUCGAGCAGGUUUACGAAUUUCUCUCCGUGGCCUUGCAACUGCAACUGGUUCUGGUGUACUUAGUGGUUCUUGGGUCAGAACCUCUUCAACCUCUAAUUCCUCCAUUGUGGCUGGAGAAUUAGACUUAUUAACUGGGCAAAUCCCCAUCUGCUCAAACUCCACCUGUUUUGGAGUACACUCCACCUGCUGUGGAGUAUUGCUCGUCUGAAUAUCUUUAUCUGCUACCUUUUUCAAUGUGGUAGAUUCAUCAAAGGUAACAUCUCUGCUACAGAUCAUUUUCUUUGUGCUUAAGCACCAAAGACGAAAUCCCUUCACUCCAGAAGUGAUUCCCAUAAAGAGAGCUUUCUUUGCCCUCGGAUCUAACUUUGACUCCUUCACAUGGUAAUAUGCAGUGGUUCCAAACACAUGUAAGGAAUCAUAAUCUGUAGCCGGUUUUCCAGACCAUACCUCCAUAGGAGUUUUUCUUUCUAAUGCAGAUGAUGGCAAACGAUUAACAAGAUGGCCAGCGUAUGUCACAGCCUCAACCCAAAAUUGCUUGCCCAACCCAGCAUUGGACAACAUACAUCGAACUUUCUCCAGCAAUGUUCGAUUCAUACGCUCUGCCAAUCCAUUCUGCUGUGGUGUAUCCCUAACUGUGAAGUGUCGAACAAUACCAUACUCUUGGCACACAUCGAAGAACGGAUCACUUUUAUAUUCCCCUCCAUUGUCCGUCCUAAGCCGCUUGAUUUUCUUGCCAGUCUGGUUUUCGAUCAUAGUUUUCCAUUUAAGAAAAACUCCAAGCACUUCAUCUUUAGUUUUCAUGGUAUACACCCAAACUCUUCUGGAAAAGUCAUCAACAAAAGUAACAAAGUAGUGUUUUCCUCCCAAUGAAGGUGUUUUGGAAGGCCCCCACACAUCUGAGUGAAUAUAUUCCAAAAUACCUUUUGUAUUAUGGAUAGCAGUGCCGAAUUUCACUCUCUUUUGCUUUCCCAGAACACAGUGCUCACAAAAUUUUAAUUUGCAAGCCUUUACACCUUUCAACAAUCCUUGCUUUGCCAGAAUUUGCAAGGAUUUUUCGCUGGCAUGUCCCAACUUCAUAUGCCACAACUGCAUUGAGUCCAAGUCUUUGUUACCGGAAGCUGCAGCGACUGCUCCAAUAACUGUACUACCUUGGUAGUAAUACAAGUUAUUUUUCCUGAUGCCCUUCAAUAUCACAAGUGCGCCAGAUGUCACUUUCAAAACCCCAUCUCUCAUAGUAACAACUGAACCAUUGGAUUCCAAGGCUCCCAAUGAGAUGAGAUUUUUCUUCAAACUGGGCACGUACCGAACAUCAGUCAGAACUCUGGUUGAUCCAUCUUUAUUCUUUAAUUGGAUUGAACCUAUCCCAACAGUUUUACAGGCAUUGUCAUUGCCCAUAUAAACAACUCCUCCAUUUAGUUCUACUAAAUCAGAGAACCACUCCCGGUUAGGGGACAUAUGAUAGGUACAACCCGAAUCCAAUAUCCACUCAUCUGAAUGGAACGACGAUGAUGAUGCAACCAGUGAUAGUUCAGAGUCACUAGUAUCAUGCUUAGCAACACAAGCAUCUACAGCAGCUUUUCCCUUAUUCUUCAGCUUUGGACAAUUUUUCUUCCAGUGGCCUUUCUCAUGACAAAAAGCACAUUCAUCUUUCCCGAGUCUGGACUUUGACUUUGAUCUCCCCUUUUGAGUUUUCUUCCGAGUGUAUGAACGACCUCGGACUAGUAAAGCUUCUGUAUCUCUGAUUGAGUUUUUCUGUUUGUCCUUCUUUCUCUGUUCAUAACUGUAUAAGGCCGCACAGACUUCGCUCAGAGAUAUAUCACUCCUGCCAUGAAGUAGAGUAGUUUCUAGGAACUCAAACUCCUCAGGAAGUGACCCCAACAGCAUCAAAGCCAAAUCUUCAUCUUUGAAUGUCUCAUCCAUAUUCAGCAAAUCAGUGACUAACUGAUUAAAUUUGGUGAUGUGAUCAUUCAUUGUGGUACUUGGGACGUAUGUGAAGCGAAACAGUCUUUUCUUCAAGUGGAGCUUAUUUUGACUGUUUUUCUUCAAAAAUUUUUCUUCAAGUGCCACCCACAACUUAUUUGCAGAAGUCUCCUUUGAAAAAGCAUACCUCUGCUCUCGAGAAAGGCAUGAUCGAAUUGUGCCACAUGCCAACCGAUUGAUCGCCUUCCAAUCUUUCUCCUGUACAUCAUCUGGUUUCUCUUCAUCAAUGGCAAUGUCUAGACCCUGCUGAAAAAGGGCAUCUAGAACCUCACUUUGCCACAUACCAAAAUGGCCCGUGCCAUCAAAGAUCUCCACGGCCAAUCUUGCAUUUGCAAUUGUCGGUCUUGUCCACAUGGACGAUGUUGAAGCUCCUACACCGACCGUUUUCUCCAUAAUCUUUCAAUAUACCUAAGGAAAUCUUUUCUGAUGUGGAAGAUCAGUUCAAACUGCAACCACAGAGCAUACUACGAUUAACCUUCGGCUCUUGAUACCACUUGUUGUUCCAAUAGGGUCGGAAGCGUGUAAAUUAUUGUACUAAAAAAUCACACAAAGUUCAAUUCCCAGGGAAGAGAGGUGGAUCACAAGGAUCUCUUAAAUACCAAGUCUUUCCUUAGACAGAAUAUCCCUUCUAUAGUAAUUUAAUAGCACAAUUAAAUACUACUAUUAUACCCUCAAAUAUUGAAAGAAAAAUAGGACAAGAAAGAACACAAGAGUUUUAACGAGGUUCGGUAAAUUAUACCUACGUCCUCGGGCACUAACACCAGAUGAUAACUUUACUAUCUUCAAAGUAUUACAAACAAAUAGAAUUCCUUAAGAAUUCUCAAAUGGGAGAAGAGAGAAAACUAAGAGAGAAAGAUUGGUUGGGAUGAAUUGAAAUGAGAAAUGAGAAGGCCUAUUUAUAGUUGAGGUUUAAGGACCAAACAAUAAAUAGCCCAUUAUCUCAAGGACCAAAAAAAAUUAUCCCAUGCCACUUUUCCAAAGUCAAAUUUAGGGUGCUAAACUUGCACCACUUUGUAUUGUUUGCCAUUAAUGUUGUCUCCCAUUAAUGUUAACACAUCUCAAACCCCUUGGACCGGUCAAAUCCAAACAGGUUGUGUUCUCACCUUUACUUUUUUUUAUUUUAUUUAGUGUAUAACUCUUCAUUUUGUUCUUGAUGUUUCAGCCAUAACCCUCUGCUUCUUGAUUGUCAUUCUUCAUUCCUUUCCCCUUAUCUUUUGCUUUGAGUUUGUCUUCCAUUGCCUUAAUAAAUCCGACUUCUUGAUUUAUAUUGUUAGGGCUUGCUUUCGUGCUGUGAAACUAUGCCAUUGUGGAAGGUUACGAAGUUCAAGAUGAAGAUUUGAAGAACUAGCCAUGGCCUUUUCAAGUUCAUUUUCAGAUAUUAUUGUAUUUGGUGUUGAAAAUUAUUAUAUUUGCCGUUCUUCAUUAAUUUAUAACAAAUUUA